UACGGAGGGUGCAAGCGUUAUCCGGAUUCACUGGGUUUAAAGGGUGCGUAGGUGGGCAGGUAAGUCAGUGGUGAAAUCUCCGGGCUUAACUCGGAAACUGCCGCUGAUACUAUCUGUCUUGAAUAUCGUGGAGGUUAGCGGAAUAUGUCAUGUAGCGGUGAAAUGCUUAGAUAUGACAUAGAACACCGAUUGCGAAGGCAGCUAACUACACGAUCAUUGACACUGAGGCACGAAAGCGUGGGGAGCAAACAGG
rnacentral:rRNA from 1 species